rnacentral:rRNA from 1 species
UACAGAGGUCUCAAGCGUUGUUCGGAUUCAUUGGGCGUAAAGGGUGCGUAGGCGGCGCGGUAAGUCGGGUGUGAAAUCUCGGGGCUUAACUCCGAAACUGCAUUCGAUACUGCCGUGCUUGAGGACUGGAGAGGAGACUGGAAAUUUACGGUGUAGCGGUGAAAUGCGUAGAUAUCGUAAGGAAGACCAGUGGCGAAGGCGGGUCUCUGGACA